rnacentral:rRNA from 1 species
UACGGAGGGUGCAAGCGUUGUCCGGAUUUAUUGGGUUUAAAGGGUGCGUAGGCGGCUAAUUAAGUCAGCGGUGAAAUUCCACAGCUCAACUGUGGAACUGCCAUUGAUACUGGUUGGCUUGAGUACAGAUGAGGUAGGCGGAAUUGACAGUGUAGCGGUGAAAUGCUUAGAUAUGACAUAGAACACCAAUUGCGAAGGCAGCUCGCUACACAUAUAUUGACUCUGAGGCACGAAAGCGUGGGGAUCAAACAGG